CGAUGAUGCAUAGCCCGAGUUGAGAGACUGAUCGGCCACAUUGGGGACUGAGACACGGCCCAAACUCCCUACGGGAGGCAGCAGUAGGGAAUCUUCCACAAUGGACGCAAGUCUGAUGGAGCAAACGCCGCGUGAGUGAAGAAGGUUUUCGGAUCGUAAAGCUCUGUUGUUGGUGAAGAAGGAUAGAGGUAGUAACUGGCCCUUUAUUUUGACGGUAAUCAACCAGAAAGUCACGGGCUAACUACGUGCCAGCAGCCGCGGUAAAU
rnacentral:rRNA from 1 species